CGGAACAUCAGUUUUACUCUGUGGUUUUGCAUACAAGCUUCCGGAGUAACUCUUCCCUUCCCAAGGAUGAGGAGUUUUGGUCAACUUGGUUAGGUGUUUGUUAUGAUGAUUUGAACAUAUAGAGAUAAUAUUCUUCUAGUGUUAUUUUCGUUGUUAUUUUGUAUUUAUGAUGUGUACUCCUAAAAUGAUAUCGUCAUUGUUACAGUGGCUGGCUCGAGGACUUAUCUGGUAUGGCAUAUGGCAAGAUAAAACCGGUAAUUUGGCCUGUGGCAGGCAAGUAGAGGUUAAAACAGUAAUUUUUGCAUAUCUGUUUGUCUUUUGAUGGUGUGUCUGCUAGUGUUGUAUUUCUUAUUUUCUUUUUGUAUCUACCACUUGUGCCACACUAUGUUGGUCUCUUGUUCUGUUAAUUUACCACUUCCUUUGUUAUGAUUCUUUAGGCUAUUCUUGUCCACUGUGAUAUAUGAAUCUUCUCUCUCUCAAAUCGGUCUGUCACAACGAGGAAGCCUAAAAAAUUGUCAUUUCACAUGGAGCUCUGCAAUUAACUG
rnacentral:lncRNA from 1 species